rnacentral:snRNA from 1 species
AUACUUACCUGGCAGGGGAGAUACCAUGAUCACGACGGUGGUUUUUCCCAGGCGGAGGCUUAUCCAUUGCAUUCUGGAUGUGCUAACUUUUGCAAUUUCCCCAAAGGUGGGAAAUUCAAUUGCAUAAUUUGUGGUAAUGGGGGACUGCGUUCGCGCUUUUCUCUG